rnacentral:misc_RNA from 1 species
CCAAUAGCGUAUAUUAAAGUUGUUGCAGUUAAAAAGCUCGUAGUUGAAUUUCGGGAUCAAGUCGUCGGUCGUGCCUCGGUACGCACUGGUGACAUUGGUUUCUCCCUUCUGAAGAACCUUGAUGUCAUUAAUUUGGUGUCUUGGGGAAUCAGGACUGUUACUUUGAAAAAAUUAGAGUGUUUAAAGCAGGCUCACGCUUGAAUACAUUAGCAUGGAAUAAUGAAAUAGGACGUUUGAUUCUAUUUUGUUGGUUUCUAGGAUCGACGUAAUGAUUAAUAGGGAUAGUUGGGGGCAUUAGUAUUCAAUUGUCAGAGGUGAAAUUCUUGGAUUUAUUGAAGACUAACUACUGCGAAAGCAUUUGCCAAGGAUGUUUUCAUUAAUCAAGAACGAAAGUUAGGGGAUCGAAGACGAUCAGAUACCGUCGUAGUCUUAACCAUAAACUAUGCCGACUAGGGAUCAGAUGAUGUUAAUUUUUUAAUGCCUCAUUCGGCGCCUUACG